GGAGUGCGUCCGGGAAGCCGAAAGGAAGGUCGCCGGAAACGAAAUGAUGGAGUACCUUCCAAUGGGGGGAAGCAUUAAGAUGAUCGAAGAAUCAUUGAAGCUAGCCUAUGGUGAAGGCUCUGAGUUGAUAAAAGACAAGCGCAUCGCAGCAGUACAAUCUCUUUCAGGCACCGGUGCAUGCCGACUUUUUGCAGACUUCCAGAAACGCUUUAAGCCUGACUCCCAGAUUUAUA
rnacentral:misc_RNA from 1 species